CGCAAGCCUGACGGAGCAACGCCGCGUGAGGGAGGAAGGCCUGUGGGUUGUAAACCUCCUUUCUCAGGGAAGAAGCUCUGACGGUACCUGAGGAAUCAGCAUCGGCUAACUCCGUGCCAGCAGCCGCGGUAAGACGGAGGAUGCAAGCGUUAUCCGGAAUUAUUGGGCGUAAAGCGUCCGCAGGUGGCUAGUCAAGUCUGCUGUCAAAGACCAGGGCUUAACCCUGGGCCGGCAGUGGAAACUGGUUAGCUGGAGUACGGUAGGGGUAGAGGGAAUUCCUGGUGUAGCGGUGAAAUGCGUAGAUAUCAGGAAGAACACCGGUGGCGAAAGCGCUCUACUAGACGGCAACUGACACUCAGGGACGAAAGCUAGGGGAGCG
rnacentral:rRNA from 1 species